CGAGCUUGGUCACUUUCCAGUUGAACCAGUUGACCCCAGUUAACUAGGUUCAACUGGAAUUUUGACCUGGGAGUAUCCUGCAAAACUCCUGAAGCUUCAUUGGAUAGGUUGCUGCUCUUCUUCAAGAAUGACUUGUUGGGUGCGACCUGUCAGAAAAUCCUGUAUCCAGGACAAGAGGUGACCACUCAUGCCAAUAAGGUGUUGUUUCAGGAGAAGACGCUCAUGUGGGACUCUUUCAACGGUCUUUGAGAAGUCCAAGAAAACUCUAUCAAUUUGGUCUUUGCACUUUGGCAUCUGGUGAUUGUGUGAUCCCCUUGUGUGACAUGUCUUUUUUAUUCCUUCUUCUUAGACAUUGUUGUUUCCUUCCUCCAAGAUUCUACUAUCCUUGGAGUACAUGUAGAUUUGCAGAAUCUGGAAGACUUUUGAACUACUUACUACUAGGGCAGAAGAUUCAAUAGGAUCUUCACCAUACAAUGAAGUAACUUAAUGCAAUCCCGUUAUUACUCAAUCUGGCCAGUAGCUAUAAAGACCAUGCUUUGACAGAAACUCUGAUACAAAUGUUUCUGACAAUGAUUUGUAAAUCAUCAUGCUGCUGUUCUGUAGAUUUGUCUAUGUGAAAUGUUUGACAUCACUGAAGGAGCAAGUAUCAUCAAAGGACUAU